GCAAGUCGAACGAGAAAGAGUCCUUCGGGACUUGAGUAAAGUGGCGCAAGGGUGAUUAACACGUGAAUAAUCUGCCUCAAAACCUGGGAUAACUCGGCGAAAGUUGGGCUAAUACUGGAUAAGACCACGUUUCACAAGAAAUGCGGUAAAAGGAGCCUCAAGCUUCAUUUUGAGAUGAGUUCGCGUACCAUUAGCUAGUUGGCGGGAUAACAGCCCACCAAGGCUACGAUGGUUAGCCGGCCUGAGAGGGUGAGC
rnacentral:rRNA from 1 species